CCUACGGGAGGCAGCAGUGAGGAAUAUUGGUCAAUGGACGCUAGCCUGAACCAGCCAAGUAGCGUGAAGGAUGACUGCCCUCGGGGUGGUAAACUUCUUUUAUGUGGGAAUAAAGUGCGGCACGUAUACAAUUGUACAUGUACUUUAUGAAUAAGGAUCGGCUAACUCCGUGCCAGCAGCCGCGGUAAUACGGAGGAUCCGAGCGUUAUCCGGAUUUAGUGGGUGUAAAGGUAGCGUAGGUGGGUUGGUAAGUCAGUUGUGAACGUCCGCGGCUCAACCGUAACACUGCAGUUGAUACUGGCAGCCUUGAGUACAGUAGAGGUAGGCGGAAUUCGUGGUGUAGCGGUGAAAUGCGUAGAUAUCACGAAGAACUUCGAUUGCGAAGGCAGCUUACUGGACUGUAACUGACACUGAUGCACGAAAGUGUGGGUAGCAAACAGGAUUAGAUACCCCUGUAGUC
rnacentral:rRNA from 1 species